GGAAUUAUUGGGUGUAAAGGGUGCGCAGGCGGAAGCCUAAGUCGAGGGUGAAAGACGACCGCUCAACGGUCGCAGUGCCUUCGAUACUGGGUUUCUUGAGUCCGGAAGAGGUUGGUGGAAUUCGUGGUGUAGCGGUGAAAUGCAUAGAGAUCACGAAGAACACCAGUGGCGAAGGCGGCCAACUGGUCCGGCACUGACGCUGAGGCACGAGAGCGUGGGGAGCGAACAGGAUUAGAUACCCUGGUAGUCCACGCUGUAAACGAUGCAUGCUAGUUGUUGUCUCUUCGGAGGCAGUGACGCAGUUAACGCGCUAAGCAUGCCACCUGGGGAGUACGUUCGCAAGAAUGAAACUCAAAGGAAUUGACGGGGGCCCGCACAAGCGGUGGAGCAUGUGGCUUAAUUCGAUGCAACGCGAAGAACCUUACCCAGGCUAAAUCUAGGCUGAUCGGCCGGGAAACCGGCCUUCCCUUCGGGGCAGCCUGGAAGGUGCUGCAUGGCUGUCGUCAGCUCGUGCCGUGAGGUGUUGCCUUAAGUGGCGCAACGAGCGCAACCCCUGUGGUUAGUUACCAGCACGUAAUGGUGGGGACUCUAGCCAGACUGCCUACGCAAGUAGUGAGGAAGGUGGGGACGACGUCAAGCCAUCAUGGCCCUUACGUCUGGGGCUGCACACGUGCUACAAUGGACAGUCCAGUGGGAAGCGACCGCGCGAGCGGCAGCAGAUCCCCAAAACUGUUCCCAGUUCGGAUUGGAGUCUGCAACUCG
rnacentral:rRNA from 1 species